rnacentral:rRNA from 1 species
GUUGUAUAGUCAAGUAAUUAAGUGCAUGUGGUGGAUGCCUUGGCAGUCAGAGGCGAUGAAAGACGUGAUAGCCUGCGAAAAGCUCCGGGGAGGCGGCAAAUAUCCUUUGAUCCGGAGAUGUCUGAAUGGGGGAACCCACCUACUUUAAGGUAGGUAUUGCAACAUGAAUACAUAGUGUUGCAAGGCGAACGAGGGGAAGUGAAACAUCUCAGUACCCUUAGGAAAAGAAAUCAAUUGAGAUUCCCUCAGUAGCGGCGAGCGAACGGGGAUCAGCCCAUUAAGUUAUGUGUGUUUUAGUGGAACGCUCUGGGAAGUGCGAACGUAGAGGGUGAUAUUCCCGUACACGAAAGGGCACACAUAAUGAUGACGAGUAGGGCGAGGCACGUGAAACCUUGUCUGAAUAUGGGGGGACCAUCCUCCAAGGCUAAAUACUCCUGACUGACCGAUAGUGAACCAGUACCGUGAGGGAAAGGCGAAAAGAACCCCUGUGAGGGGAGUGAAAUAGAUCCUGAAACCGCAUGCAUACAAGCAGUGGGAGCACCUUCGUGGUGUGACUGCGUACCUUUUGUAUAAUGGGUCAGCGACUUAUAUUCAGUAGCGAGGUUAACCGUAUAGGGGAGCCGUAGAGAAAUCGAGUCUUAAUAGGGCGUUUAGUUGCUGGGUAUAGACCCGAAACCAGGCGAUCUAUCCAUGAGCAGGUUGAAGGUUGGGUAACACUAACUGGAGGACCGAACCCACUGUCGUUGAAAAGCCAGGGGAUGACUUGUGGAUAGGGGUGAAAGGCUAAUCAAGCCUGGUGAUAGCUGGUUCUCCCCGAAAGCUAUUUAGGUAGCGCCUCGGACGAAUACCAUAGGGGGUAGAGCACUGUUUCGGCUAGGGGGUCAUCCCGACUUACCAAACCGAUGCAAACUCCGAAUACCUAUGAGUACUAUCCGGGAGACAGACUGCGGGUGCUAACGUCCGUAGUCAAGAGGAAAACAAUCCAGACCGCCAGCUAAGGCCCCAAAAUCAUAGUUAAGUGGGAAACGAUGUGGGAAGGCAUAGACAGCUAGGAGGUUGGCUUAGAAGCAGCCACCCUUUAAAGAAAGCGUAAUAGCUCACUAGUCGAGUCGGCCUGCGCGGAAGAUGUAACGGGGCUAAAACUAUGUGCCGAAGCUGCGGAUGUAUACUUUGUAUACGUGGUAGGGGAGCGUUCUGUAAGCCGAUGAAGGUGUGUUGAGAAGCAUGCUGGAGGUAUCAGAAGUGCGAAUGCUGACGUGAGUAACGACAAAACGGGUGAAAAACCCGUUCGCCGAAAGACCAAGGGUUCCAGUCCAACGUUAAUCGGGGCUGGGUGAGUCGACCCCUAAGGCGAGGCCGAAAGGCGUAGUCGAUGGGAAAAUGGUUAAUAUUCCAUUACUUCUGUGUAAUGCGAUGAGAGGACGGAGAAGGCUAAAUCAGCCUGGCGUUGGUUGUCCAGGUGAAAGGAUGUAGGCAUGUAUCUUAGGCAAAUCCGGGGUACUCUAUGCUGAGAUCUGAUAGCAAGCUGUACUUGUACAGCGAAGUGGUUGAUGCCAUGCUUCCAGGAAAAGUCUCUAAGCUUCAGUUACACAGGAAUCGUACCCGAAACCGACACAGGUGGUCAGGUCGAGUAGACCAAGGCGCUUGAGAGAACUCUGCUGAAGGAACUAGGCAAAAUGGUACCGUAACUUCGGGAGAAGGUACGCUGUUGUUGGUGAUGGAACUCGCUUCCUGAGCUGACGACAGCCGCAGAAACCAGGCCGCUGCAACUGUUUAUUAAAAACAUAGCACUCUGCAAACACGAAAGUGGACGUAUAGGGUGUGAUGCCUGCCCGGUGCUGGAAGGUUAAUUGAUGGGGUUAGCGUAAGCGAAGCUCUUGAUCGAAGCCCCAGUAAACGGCGGCCGUAACUAUAACGGUCCUAAGGUAGCGAAAUUCCUUGUCGGGUAAGUUCCGACCUGCACGAAUGGCAUAAUGAUGGCGGCGCUGUCUCCAGCAGAGGCUCAGUGAAAUCGAAAUCGCUGUGAAGAUGCAGUGUACCCGCGGCUAGACGGAAAGACCCCGUGAACCUUUACUGCAGCUUGACACUGAACUUUGACCUUACUUGUGUAGGAUAGGUGGGAGGCUUUGAAGCUGGAACGCUAGUUCCAGUGGAGCCGUCCUUGAAAUACCACCCUGGUAAUGUUGAGGUUCUAACUCUGUCCCGUGAUCCGGGACGAGGACCGUGUCUGGUGGGUAGUUUGACUGGGGCGGUCUCCUCCUAAAGAGUAACGGAGGAGUACGAAGGUGCGCUCAGCGUGGUCGGAAAUCACGCGUAGAGUAUAAAGGCAAAAGCGCGCUUAACUGCGAGACCCACAAGUCGAGCAGGUACGAAAGUAGGUCUUAGUGAUCCGGUGGUUCUGUAUGGAAGGGCCAUCGCUCAACGGAUUAAAAGGUACUCUGGGGAUAACAGGCUGAUACCGCCCAAGAGUUCAUAUCGACGGCGGUGUUUGGCACCUCGAUGUCGGCUCAUCUCAUCCUGGGGCUGAAGCAGGUCCCAAGGGUAUGGCUGUUCGCCAUUUAAAGAGGUACGCGAGCUGGGUUUAGAACGUCGUGAGACAGUUCGGUCCCUAUCUACCGUGGGCGCUGGAAAUUUGAGAGGAUCUGCUCCUAGUACGAGAGGACCAGAGUGGACGAACCUCUGGUGUACCGGUUGUGACGCCAGUCGCAUCGCCGGGUAGCUAUGUUCGGAAGGGAUAACCGCUGAAAGCAUCUAAGCGGGAAGCCUACCUCAAGAUAAGAUUUCCCUAGGACUUUAUGUCCUCUAAAGAGCCGUUCGAGACUAGGACGUUGAUAGGUUGGAUGUGGAAGCAUAGUGAUAUGUGAAGCUGACCAAUACUAAUUGCUCGUGAGGCUUGACUAUACAACACCCAAGCAGUUG